UGCUAUGGCAGCCGCAACGCGGGCAGGCUUCGGCCUGGCUGGCUUAUGCCGAUCUUUGCCGGUCUCUCACCCCGCGUUCGGCUGCCACCUUA
rnacentral:antisense_RNA from 17 species